rnacentral:rRNA from 1 species
UGGGGAAUAUUGGGCAAUGGACGCAAGUCUGACCCAGCAACGCCGCGUGAAGGAAGAAGGCUUUCGGGUUGUAAACUUCUUUUAAGAGGGAACAGAAGAAGAGGGUACCUCUUGAAUAAGCCACGGCUAACUACGUGCCAGCAGCCGCGGUAAUACGUAGGUGGCAAGCGUUGUCCGGAUUUACUGGGUGUAAAGGGCGUGUAGCCGGGGAGACAAGUCAGAUGUGAAAUCUGGAGGCUCAACCUCCAAACUGCAUUUGAAACUGUUUCUCUUGAGUAUCGGAGAGGUAAUCGGAAUUCCUAGUGUAGCGGUGAAAUGCGUAGAUAUUAGGAAGAACACCAGUGGCGAAGGCGGAUUACUGGACGACAACUGACGGUGAGGCGCGAAAGCGUGGGGAGCAAACAGG